UUAUAAUUCGCAUAUUUUUUAAAACUAUUACGAAUAAAUAUGGAGGAAAAAAAUACCUUAUAAAUCGCGUGCAAAUAGUUCAGGGCCUCCUCGCAGCUAAACUUCUCCAUAUCGACAUUAAAUUCCCUGGUGGUUUUGGAUAAAAUCCCGAUAACUAAUUCUAAAUCGAAUUUGUCGUAAUAUGCGCCUCGGCUGCAAUUUAUGCUGGAGCGAUGUUCAAAUAAGGCAGGAUUAAUAGCAUUAAACCGCGUUCGUAGCUUAUUUUCACCGGUCCUGUGGAAAUUGUCCGUAUAAUAAUGGUUAUAAUUGAUAGGAAAGCCUUUCAAAUCCUCGAUCAACAUCCUCAACUCCUUUCGGGCUUUUAUUUUGCGCUGUUCAAAACGUUCCCUAAUUUUGAAAAACCUAGUUCAGGCGUAUUAGCGCAUUAAUAUUUAGAAAUCGAGCAAGAACUUUGCGGCAUAUUUACCAUAUUCGAGAAGCAACAUCCUUAACUCCCCUCUUCUUAAAAAGAAUAUUAUAAAACUGUUCGCAAAUGUAGCUAACGAGGUCGAUGUGGGACUCGGCGAACGUAGCCCAUGGUUGAAAUUGCUCCCAAAAAAGCUCAGCUAUCACAUUUGGAUUAAAGCUUCCGAACAACUCAAUUCCUCGCGAACGUUGUAUUAAUCGUUUCACCCAUUCCGUUGCCUUGGUUUUCGAAAGCCUUUUUGGUCCUGGCGUGGCAAUUUUGGUUUGUAUAAAUAUCUCGCCUUUUACGCUGCUGUCCGAAACCAAGUCGGCGUACACGAUUACAGGAAUUUAAUGCUUAUAUCCUUUCGUCCAAAUAUCUUCUAAAAAUUGGCUGUUGCAAUGCUGAAUAGCUGUACGGAGUCGAGCGAUUGUGCUUUUGUUUUUUAGGCUGAACGCAUUUUCCCCGCCUAAUUUAAAAAAUUCGUGUUUAUAAUGCCCGUUUAAAGCUGUUUUGCAGAUUUUAUGGCAAUCCAUGUUUAAAUGCGUCAAAUAUGUGCGGCAAUCUAAAACAGUGGAUCGUAAAUCCCCGAAAAGUUUUAAUUCAUUUUCAAAUAAUUUUAAAACUAUUUCGAAAUCUCCCAUCAGGCGGGAAAGCUUAUUUUUCACAUGGCCGUAAAAUAGGUGGCUAAAUCGUGUGCGCAACGUAUCAAUACCACACGUUUUUUGUAGCAAAGUUCUAAAAUUUAAGGACCGAAAAAAAUUCGUCUCUAAUAUAUUGCGUUUUUCGAAUGAGAAAUUUCGUUUUUCAAAUUUUCGAUUUUUUAUAACAUGCCAACCGAACUGAAAAAAAACGUCCUCGUUACGGGCGAACUUAAGGAACUUCUUUUCAAAACCAGACCCGGUUUCAAAUUUGUCCGGUUUUGUAAUUACACCAAAUGUUCGUUCGCCAAAGGGGUCAAACUUGCGAAUUUGUUAAAGGAUUCCUUGGUUUGCCGCGUCAUUCGUAACCGAAAUAACCGCUAGGCAAAUAAUACGAGGUUGGGAGAUAUAAUAGUUAAUAAUCUUUUUAACUAUUUCAACGUUAUUAUUUGAAAUAUCCUUGGUAAAGGUUUGAAUUAGGCCUGGAAUAUUAACCAGGGUUAACUAAGGACGGUUCGGGCCAUUAAUAUUAAUGCUAAACGUAUCUUUGGCAAAGGCGCUGGUAAAUAAUACGUCAUCAAAUCCUGAAAUCCCCAUUACCGUUAUGGCCGCAUUAAUAACAAUAGGCAGAUCAGCAAAGGUAAUAAUAAAUUGGGAAAAAGCUUUGAUAUUUUGUUUUUUAUACUUAGGGCGAUUGCUGUCUGGAACAAUCUUAACAGUGAUUUUGUCGACGGGUUCGCGGCGGAAACUGAUUUCAGUGGCAAACCUGGUGCAAAGGUUAUCGUUUCUGGGGAAAGGAAUCUCAAUCAGGGUUUCCAGCACGGAACUCUUCCCAGCAGAUUAAUCUCCACAAACGACGAUUUAAAAUAGGGAUAAAAUGCUGUCGAAUCCACAUUUUCGCACGUAAUUGAUGGUGUCGAAAAAAAUUCGCUGCUCCAUUAUUUGGAACUUUUCCAAAAUGGAUCCAUAAAUUAGUUUGUUAAAGGAAAAGGAAUUAUCGGGAACGCCCAUAUUGGCCAACAGGAAAUUGUAAAUUUGAAAAACGAAUUUAAGGGAAAUAGGGGACGGGAUAACAACAUCUGAAAAAGAAGUUAAAGGAUUAACAGCGAGAAUAUGGCCUCUGUUUGAAUUUUUAAAUUGUUAUCGAAAACCAAAAUCGUGUUGUAAAAUGAAAAUACAACAUUCCUUGACCGAUAGACCUUUCGUUUUUUGUCGUUGGAAUAAAAGCAAAGAUCCUCAAAAACCUCCUCCCCUGGCAUUAUCAAAUGGCAUUUACUUUUAAAUUGCAGGACCUAUAAUUAACCGCUAUACCACGUUAUAAAACAGGGCGGCCAGUUAUAUCAGCUGGCCUAUCAGAAAUCCUUAAUUUAAAAAGUGACUUUUCCCGUAAAGUUACCAUUUCUUAAUUAUACGGGAGGCCCUCCUUUUCUGGGCCUCCGUUUCCGCCAAAUUAAACACAUUUCCUCGCUCAAUGCCAACAAAGUCUGGCAAAAAAAAAAUAAGUUUCCAUUUUUCUUAAAACCAGUAGGAAAACGUAAAUUAUACAUGUGUUUGGUUAAUUAGUUUAAAUUGCUUUUUUAAAGCGCUAGGCUAAUUAAAGGAGCCGUUACAUCACCUAAUGUUGGAAAUUAUGGAAGUUUUUUAGCCCAACGCAUGGAGAACCUGUUGCAUAAUCGGCCGCAUAUUAGGUAAAGAAACGAUCUCCACUGGCAGGUAUUUUGAGGGCCUUUAAUUGGUUGUCCAUAUCCGACAAAAUGCAAUAUGGGAGGCCCACCAUCCUCCUAUUAACUAAAUUAACAAUCUUGGAAGCGGGCGAUCCAGCUAUAAACUAGCAUAUGUAAAAGGCCCUCCACCGUUUGCUAAUGGGGUCAAAAUUGAAGCAUUUGCCAAAAUAUUUGUAAAAUACAAAUCUCGAUUUUUGGGGAUGUGUUUGUUAGAUCUGGAACUUUUGAUUUGUACCACUGGAAUCGGCCGUAUUGGGUUUAUUUACGCCCUAAACAACGCACUAUUAAUGAAAUUGAAAAUUAUUAAUUUUUUAAUUAAAAAUGCCAUUAUUAUACAGGAGACCCUCCAUAUGCAACGCCUAGGAAAAGUGUUUUGUUGCGGGCCAUUAACCAAAAUACCUGCUUAUCAGGAAUGUCGGAAACCCUCGGUUGCAUACCCAAAUAUUGCUAAUGUUAUGUAAAAGGCCUGCUGUUUUCCUGCCAUUAUAUCGCACAAACAAUGGUUUUGGUGGUCAUUAUUUAUGCGAUUACGAAAAAGCAUUUGGGAUGCAGGAGGUAUUGAUUAAUGCGCUAUAUUAUCCCCUGUCGUUUCGCAAAAAAUACCCAACCAUAAACUAUUAGUUCCAAGAAUGGAGGGCCUCCUGCAUAAAGGGGAUUCCUAUUCCGACUGGCUGGUUAGUAAUUUAGCAUAAUAUAUAUUAAAUUAUAUGUGGGUACAAUAUAUAGGUUUUGUAGCAAAGACGGAAACAUGUGGGCGCAAUUACAACGACCGUUUCCAUGCCAUUACCACAUUAUCGCCUGUUCGCGAAUAUCGACUUGCGCCUUUCCCGUAUAAAAAAGAUACGUUUAGCAACUUUUUCAAGCCCAUAAAUCACAUAUCGCACAUUUUUAUCGUUUCGCGCGAGUAAAUUGUGACAUUUGGACCUUAAAAUCACCAGACCCUAACCCUAACCCCUGACCAACGACCCACCAGGGUAAUACCUGACGUAUAUUAACGUACACGUACAGUCAGAUUUAGUGGGUAGGAGAGCCAUAUAUUGGUGUAGGCCGUGCUAUCUGUGCUAAAACGCGUGUUGGAGCUUUUAUCGUGUUCCUAACGUUAAUUCAGCGCUUUUUAUUAUAUAACGACAAAUUCUAUCUAAUUAUCUAAUGCAACAAUACCUUUAUUUAAAUUACGUCGCGUCAAACUCGGAACUUUGUUUAUUUCCUUCCCUUUCCUCAAAGUAGAAUUUUCGUCGAUAGGCGCCAAUAAACUAAUUUCCGUGCUAUAUUUACCCUGGCCGUAAUAAUUACCACGCAAUCCAUUAAUUUAACAUAUUUUCAUUUUUGGACUUUUUCGUGGCAAUGGUUGAAAUUUACGAACUUACUUUGACGGACACGUCCAUGCGAUAUAAUUAUCCUGUAUAGUCAGCCUUUGUGGCCGCCAAGCCGAAUGGGGAGGGGUUGGCCAGGCGAAAUGGCCGUCAGCAUACAAACACAGCUACCCCUCCUUCCCUACCUAAACCACCGGACAAUAAAUAGCCCAUUAAUCCAAUAUGGUUAAUAAAAAUCCCUUUAUUUAGUUAAAACUGUUUGGGCCACUUUAAUUAAUAUUUUAUCGAAACGGCGGCAGAUUACAACGGAGCGCGGGUGGUUUUAUAGCCGGCGACACUAUCCCGUUGGAACAUAGGCUUUAACCUAAGCGAGACAACGGAUACAAAUAAUAAAAAAUUACAGGUUAAAGGGCUAAAAAAAUCAGUGCAGAUUUACUGUUAAAUUUUGUGGUUACCAAUCAGCUCGAUUCCUGGUUGCGUUUUAGCUAACUUAUAUUAAGGGGGUCCGGCAUCUGACAAUAUAACUGGCUAUAACCGCAUAAUAUUGCAUGACAAGGCAUACCUAGGUGCAUAGCUGAAAAUAUCCGGUAUAAUAUAACAUAGUUUGGCUACCCCCCAUUACAGCAUUGCCACAUAUUUGAUCCGCCUCGUGUUUUUUCCUAUCGAAAGAUCAAAACUUUCAUACUCCAAUUAAAACCACGGGUAAUUUUGGUUUCCCGGUUUCUUCCCACACGUUUUUGCCAAUUUACCUAUGUUCGACAAACCAAUGAAUAUAUUUAACAAACCAUAUAUAUAUUGCACGUAAAUAAUCGAUACCCUGCCCUUUCCACAAAAUUUGGAAACACCCGCCCGGAUAGCCCCAUUUGGGGUCGAAUAUUGGCGUCGAGGAAUCAGGUAUUUGGCUAAUCUGGCCUUUGUUUGCCCCCGUUUAAAAAGUCGAACCUCCGUUCACAUUAUUAAUGGAAAAAUACAGGUAUAUCCCGCUUUUUUCAACUUGCCAAAUCCGCCUUUUGAGGCUUUUUGCCGGACGAGCAGAUGACGAAUUGUCCGGCGAAUUGUUUUAUAUAUCCCUCAAUUGCGCGCCGCGUUUUACCGCGUUUUCGUACGCGUGGGGUGACCCGAAGCCCCGGAAAGCAAUUCGCUGCUAUGGCUUUAUUACUGAAGUUAGUUCCAAUUUGCACGACGUUUUGCGGCAUUUCAGAGGGCCUAAUAAUAAUAUCAUCCUUUGGGCGGAUGCGCUGUGCAUCGACCAAGAAAAUAUACCAAAAUUCAACGAGCAGGUCAAAAUAAUGGGCGAUAUCUACGCUUCGGCGAUUCCCACAGCUAUUUGGCUUGGAAAAAAGUCGGACGAGGUCAGGAUGGCUUUUGGCUGGUUACGCAAUUUUAACAAAACCAUAUAUUUAUGGGAAUCCAAUUAGCAGGCAUGGAAGCACAAUUUUGAAUUCAUCGAUAAACACCAUACCAAGGCGAUAUUACAAAAUGUUUUCGGUAAUUGCAGGAUAUUUGCUUUUAAAAACAUCUGGGCUCUGUUCGACUGUCCGUGGUUUAUACGAAAAUGGGUUAUUCAGGAGCUCGUUAAAUCGCGCAUACCAGUGCUAAUUAGCGGCAGGAAUUGCAUCCCGUGGCCGUUUCUAUUAACAUGGUUAAAAUUCAUUAGAAAAUGUACAGUUUAGUACGAGGAUUUCAGAUUAUUUUGCCCACGACCUUUUGAGGCUGACUCCAAGGUUUUGGGAAUAUGUGAACUGCGAGCCACGCUUUUGUGGCGGAUUGCAAACCAAGACACCCCUUUUUUGCUAUUUCUUCUGAUAAGGACGCUGCAAUUUAAAUGCCGCGACCCUCGUAAUCACGUAUUUGCUUUAAUGGGGAUCGCAUCGGACGCAAAACGCUUUCCCCUGCCUAACUACGGGAAAAAAACUGAGGAUAUAUUCCGGCAGUUUGUUUAUACUUGCGUAUCUGAUAUUAUAAACCUUAAAUUGCUAUGGUCUCUUCUCUCUUUAACGCCUUUGGGAAAACGGUUGCAUUUUUGGGUACCUGAUCUAAAAAAAGGUAUAAUUGAAUGCGACGGGGGCGUCCUGCCUACCCAAUUUUCCGUGCAGCAGAUAAAAGACUACAACGCAGGUGGAAAGUCGUUUCCGGAACCGCAGUUAGACCGAGGUCGAAACUUGUUCAAGAUGGUGGGCCGCAUCGUCGAUAAAAUUCAACUUCUUGGGUCCGACAAUAGAAGUUUUAUUAAUAUUUAGAUUGUCGAAGGUAUAAUAAAAAUGAGGAGCGAUUUCAAAACCUUCGGGCAAAAUCUCCAAUUAUUGCUCCAACAGAAGUACCAGUGGCUGGAAAAGUGCAUCGCCAUCGCAGCAAAGACUAUUAGCAGAAAGGAUGCCGAGGAGGCGUUCAAAAACGCUUUUCUAAACGACAAAAUGGUUAACGAAGAAAUAUUUCAAAGUUUAGCGGUGGCGAGGCGAAAAUUCUUUACCUAUAUGCGCCUAAUGAAAAAAGAGGUAUGCAAUGGUCAGCUGUGGUUUUUGGCCGCUUUGAACCGCCUAAACCUUAAAUCCGGUUACCUUUUGGAAAACAUAAUAUCGGACAAAUUUCAGCGGCGAUUCGGUGGUACGGAGGGCAGGAAAAUAGACUGGCUACCACCGGUGGCCGAGGAAAGAAACUUUAUUUAUAUUUUUAACGGUAUAAAGCUCCCAUACGUCAUCCGUCCAGCGGAUAACGGCCGAUACCUCCUCGUUGGUAAUUGCAUAAUUAUGGGACUUAUAAUGGGAAAAGGCAUGCAACUGCCCAAUACGGAGUCGCAGAUAAUAGGAUUUAAAUAACCAAUAUGGAGGUAAUAUUUUAUAGAAAAAUUUAUAAUACUAUUAAUAUAUAAAAAUUAUUGUUUUCCUCCAUAUCGCGCUGGGGGGUUCCUGCCAAAGGUCUUCCUAGAUUUUUAUCUGGUUAUCUAUUAACCAGUUACAAUUUCCGGAAU
rnacentral:sRNA from 1 species